rnacentral:rRNA from 1 species
GACGAACGCUGGCGGCGUGCUUAACACAUGCAAGUCGAACGGAAAGGCCCUGCUUUUGUGGGGUGCUCGAGUGGCGAACGGGUGAGUAACACGUGAGUAACCUGUCCCUGACUUUGGGAUAACUUCAGGAAACUGGGGCUAAUACCGGAUAGGAGCUCCUGCUGCAUGGUGGGGGUUGGAAAGUUUCGGCGGUUGGGGAUGGACUCGCGGCUUAUCAGCUUGUUGGUGGGGUAGUGGCUUACCAAGGCUUUGCCGGGUAGCCGGCCUGAGAGGGUGACCGGCCACAGUGGGACUGAGAUACGGCCCAGACUCCUACGGGAGGCAGCAGUGGGGAAUAUUGCACAAUGGGCGGGAGCCUGAUGCAGCAACGCCGCGUGCGGGAUGACGGCCUUCGGGUUGUAAACCGCUUGCGCCUGUAACGAAGCGGGAGUGACGGUAAUGGGUAAAGAAGCACCGGCUAACUACGUG